UAAAACAGGGGCAAAAAAAAAAGAAAAAAGAAAACCUUAGACCAGGUGUUCGGAAAUGGUUAACUAUCUCAGUCACUUCCUGUUGACUGCGCACCUGUUACCGAUUAUGAAGACUUCCGGUCCUGACUGUCGCGUAAUUCUGGUAUCUAGCAGACAACACAGCCUGGCAUCCUUCCAACUUGACGAUAUUCAAGACACAUUCAAUGGUUUGACCUUUUAAAGAAGGUCGAAGUUAUACCAGAUCAUGCAAAUGUUUAGCAUGAACCGCAGACUGAGUGACAGCAAUGUCACAGUGACGUCAUUACAUCCGGGUAUUGUUUGGACUGAUCUCCUUGAUACAUUCAGUGGGACUAGACUACGAAUCCUACGACGGUUUGGUUUGUUAAAGUCCCCUUUCGAGGGAUCUUGGACGUCGAUUAAUGCUGCUAUAAAUCCUGUCUUGGCAGGAGUUAGGGACGUGUACUUCUGUGACUCUCAGCCAAGCAUGGAGUCAGCAAGUCAACAAUCAAAGUAAGCAGUUCUUCGUAUUACCAUCACUGUACCCAAAACAAAACACUUUCCAGUUAACUAUUGACGUAUUUUAUA